CCCUUAGAUGUUCUGGGCCGCACGCGCGCUACACUGAUGCAUUCAACGAGUCUAAAACCUGCUCUGAUAGGGGUGGGUAAUCUUUUGAAUGUGCAUCGUGAUUGGGAUAGAUGAUUGCAAUUUUUCAUCUUCAACGAGGACUGCCUAGUAAACGCAAGUCACCAGCUUGCAUUGAUUACGUCCCUGCCCUUUGUACACACCGCCCGUCGCUCCUACCGAUUGAAUGAUCCGAUGAAUAUCAUGGAUUGAGGAUGCAAGCAGGUUCGCCUGUCUUCAUCUUCGAGAAGUGAAGUAAAUCUUAUCAUUUAGAGGAAGGAGAAGUCGUAACA
rnacentral:rRNA from 1 species